rnacentral:rRNA from 1 species
UGCCAGCCGCCGCGGUAAUACGGAGGAUUCAAGCGUUAUCCGGAUUUAUUGGGUUUAAAGGGUGCGUAGGCGGCUUUAUAAGUUAGAGGUGAAAUCUCGGAGCUCAACUCCGAAACCGCCUCUAAUACUGUAGAGCUAGAGAUUAGUUGCUGUGGGCGGAAUGUAUGGUGUAGCGGUGAAAUGCUUAGAGAUCAUACAGAACACCGAUUGCGAAGGCAGCUCACAAAACUAUAUCUGACGUUGAGGCACGAAAGCGUGGGGAGCAAACAGGAUUAGAUA